rnacentral:rRNA from 1 species
AGUGAACGCUGGCGGCAGGCCUAACACAUGCAAGUCGAGCGGCAGCGGGUCCCCGCGAGGGGAUGCCGGCGAGCGGCGGACGGGUGAGGAACACAUCGGAAUCUGCCUGGUUGUGGGGGAUAACGUAGGGAAACUUACGCUAAUACCGCAUGCGACCCUGAGUCGACGGACUGGGGGUGAAAGUGAGGGACCUUCGGGCCUCACGCGACCAGAUGAGCCGAUGUCGGAUUAGCUAGUUGGCGGGGUAACGGCCCGCCAAGGCGACGAUCCGUAGCUGGUCUGAGAGGAUGAUCAGCCACACUGGGACUGAGACACGGCCCACGACUCC